rnacentral:rRNA from 1 species
CAUUAUCGAGUUCUGACUGGGUUGUAGCUGGCCUUCCGAGGCACGUGCACGCCCUGCUCAUCCACUCUACACCUGUGCACUUACUGUGGGUUUCAGAUCUGCAAAGCGUGCUCCUUGUCGCGCUUCAUGAAGCGCAUCUGUGCCUGCGUUUAUCACAAACUCUAUGAAAGUAUUAGAAUGUAAUAUUGGGAUAUAAUAGAUCUAUAUACAACUUUCAGCAACGGAUCUCUUGGCUCUCGCAUCGAUGAAGAACGCAGCGAAAUGCGAUAAGUAAUGUGAAUUGCAGAAUUCAGUGAAUCAUCGAAUCUUUGAACGCACCUUGCGCUCCUUGGUAUUCCGAGGAGUAUGCCUGUUUGAGUGUCAUGAAAUCUUCAACUUGCAACCCUUUGCGGGUUUGUAGGCUUGGACUUGGAGGCUUGUCGGCCCUUUGUCGGUCGGCUCCUCUUAAAUGCAUUAGCUUGAUUCCUUGCGGAUCGGCUCUCGGUGUGAUAAUGUCUACGCCGUGACCGUGAAGCGUUUGGCGAGCUUCCAACCGUCUUGCUUGAAGACAAGCUUUAUGACCUCUGACCUCAAAUCAGGUAGGACUACCCGCUGAACUUAAGCAUAUCAAUAAGCGGAGGA